rnacentral:rRNA from 1 species
AUUGAACGCUGGCGGCAGGCCUAAUACAUGCAAGUCGAACGGUAACAUGAAAAAGCUUGCUUUUUUGAUGACGAGUGGCGAACGGGUGAGUAACGCGUGAGGAACCUGCCUUUCAUGGGGGACAACAGUUGGAAACGACUGCUAAUACCGCAUGAUACUAUUGAGUGGCAUCACUUGAUAGUCAAAGAUUUAUUGCUGAAAGAUGGUCUCGCGUCUGAUUAGCUAGUUGGUGAGGUAACGGCUCACCAAGGCGACGAUCAGUAGCCGGUCUGAGAGGAUGAACGGCCACAUUGGGACUGAGAUACGGCCCAGACUCCUACGGGAGGCAGCAGUGGGGAAUAUUGGGCAAUGGGGGAAACCCUGACCCAGCAACGCCGCGUGAAGGAAGAAGGCCUUCGGGUUGUAAACUUCUUUUACCAGGGACGAAGAACGUGACGGUACCUGGAGAAAAAGCAACGGCUAACUACGUG